UACGUAGGGUGCAAGCGUUAAUCGGAAUUACUGGGCGUAAAGCGUGCGCAGGCGGUUUUGUAAGUCUGUCGUGAAAUCCCCGGGCUCAACCUGGGAAUUGCGAUGGAGACUGCAAGGCUAGAAUCUGGCAGAGGGGGGGUAGAAUUCCACGUGUAGCAGUGAAAUGCGUAGAGAUGUGGAGGAACACCGAUGGCGAAGGCAGCCCCCUGGGUCAAGAUUGACGCUCAUGCCACGAAAGCGUGGGGGAGCAAAACGAGG
rnacentral:rRNA from 1 species